GGGCGGUGUGUACAGGGCCCGGGUACAUAUUCACCGCGGCAUGCUGAUCCGCGAUUACUAGCGAUUCCAACUUCAUGUUCCCG
rnacentral:rRNA from 2 species